UACGGCCGCAUCACGUUGAAACAUUGGUUCCCGUACGAUCACCAAAGUUAAGUAACAUUUACCCUGGUCAGUACCUAAAUCGGUGACCGCUUUGGAAUACUUGGUGAUGCAGG